AGCGAACGCUGGCGGCAGGCCUAACACAUGCAAGUCGAACGAACCCUUCGGGGUUAGUGGCGGACGGGUGAGUAACACGUGGGAACGUGCCUUUAGGUUCGGAAUAACUCAGGGAAACUUGUGCUAAUACCGAAUGUGCCCUUCGGGGGAAAGAUUUACCGCCUUUAGAGCGGCCCGCGUCUGAUUAGCUAGUUGGUGAGGUAAUGGCUCACCGAGGCUACGAUCAGUAGCUGGUCUGAGAGGAUGACCAGCCACAUUGAGACUGAGACACGGCCCAAACUCCUACGGGAGGCAGCAGUGGGGAAUCUUGCGCAAUGGGCGAAAGCCUGACGCAGCCAUGCCGCGUGGAUGAUGAAGGUCUUAGGAUUGUAAAAUCCUUUCACCGGUGAAGAUAAUGACUGUAGCCGGAGAAGAAGCCCCGGCUAACUUCGUGCCAGCCGCCGCGGUAACAC
rnacentral:rRNA from 1 species